UACGUAGGGUGCAGGCGUUAAUCGGAAUUACUGGGCGUAAAGGGUGUGUAGGUGGCGCGCUAAGUCGGGUGUGAAAUUUCGGAGCUUAACUCCGAAACUGCAUUCGAUACUGGCGUGCUUGAGGACUGGAGAGGAGACUGGAAUUCAUGGUGUAGCAGUGAAAUGCGUAGAGAUCAUGAGGAAGACCAGUGGCGAAGGCGGGUCUCUGGACAGUUCCUGACACUGAGACACGAAGGCCAGGGGAGCAAACGGG
rnacentral:rRNA from 1 species